rnacentral:miRNA from 1 species
UUUCCAAACAUUUUACCUUACUA